rnacentral:rRNA from 1 species
GAUGAACGCUGGCGGCGUGCCUAAUACAUGCAAGUCGAGCGAACAGACGAGGAGCUUGCUCCUCUGACGUUAGCGGCGGACGGGUGAGUAACACGUGGAUAACCUACCUAUAAGACUGGGAUAACUUCGGGAAACCGGAGCUAAUACCGGAUAAUAUAUUGAACCGCAUGGUUCAAUAGUGAAAGACGGUUUUGCUGUCACUUAUAGAUGGAUCCGCGCCGCAUUAGCUAGUUGGUAAGGUAACGGCUUACCAAGGCGACGAUGCGUAGCCGACCUGAGAGGGUGAUCGGCCACACGGGAACUGAGACACGGUCCAGACUCCUACGGGAGGCAGCAGUAGGGAAUCUUCCGCGAUGGGGGAAAGCCUGACGGAGCAACGCCGCGUGAGUGAUGAAGGUCUUCGGAUCGUAAAACUCUGUUAUUAGGGAAGAACAAAUGUGUAAGUAACUAUGCACGUCUUGACGGUACCUAAUCAGAAAGCCACGGCUAACUACGUG